UAUAACUUUAAUAUCUGGCCCUUUAGUUUUGUUGGUUUUUAGAUUUAAUUGUUCGAGUAAUCUUAAGGAUAUGAUUGUGAAUAAGAAACUAACAAAUGCUAAUCCAUUGAUUAACGGAUUUGCAUAUUGUAUGAUCACUUGCUUGUCUGUUUCUCAUUGAAACAUAAACCGUAUUGUAUUAGUAUUGUCAUUUGUGUCUUCUAUUGUUGGCCCUUUAGUCCCCUUCGACCAGUGUUGCAUCGACCAUUUUAAUUAAUUCAUGGAGGCAAAUGUUUAUAAGGGGUUUCCGGCAUUUUAGCUUUAGUGCGUUAGUUAAUUUUGUACCUUAGUUUGUCCUGAUACUUUUCUCACAUGUUUCCUGUAUUAGGCUUUAAAUGCUCAUGGGUGAAAAUGUCACUGAAAGACUUCUGGUUGCCUUGUUAUCCGAGUUCACGACCAAUUUCUAUUGAAGUUAAUCAUUAAAAAUUUCAUCUUGUUCUUGAUGAUUCGAGUGCUCGUUACGACAAAGUUGCACAAAAUGCAGGAUGUUCUAGUUCUUUUUUGUACACCUCAGUUUCGUGACAUGGGGUUCGUAUACUGACGGUUGAUCGAGGUGAGGGGGACCGCGCAGUAGUUAGCAUCCUCUACCAGCAUGCCUAUACAGUAGAGGACCACCAGAUAGAGUGCUAUUCUGUACAACUUGCUUGCACUGGCAAGGGUCUGGGCUGUUUACGUGUACUUUUCUUUUGAGGUUGAGCUUUAUUUGGUGUAGUUCAUAUUGUACGACAACAUAGUUUGGAAAUAGCGCUCUGAUACAGGUUAUUUGUUUAUUCGUACUUCUUCUUGAUUCA